UCGGAGGAUGCCGCAUUGAGUGAGAUGGAUUAUCUCUGCAUUAUGUCCGUGUCAGGAAUAGAGUUGACUCAUCGUGGGCCUCGGAGCUUAUGGGCAUAUUUGCGCGGGAAAUAUGCUCCGAAACGUAUUUGAAAAUUAAUGUAAACGCCAGCUUACGAAAGGACUAUCUCGUAAAUUUAGAUAAUAGGAGAAGUUGAAGGUUAUCGCUGUUACAAAAAUGAUGUAUGUUUUUUUGUUUUUUUUUUUAGGGAUGCAGGAACGCGGGAAAUAUGCUCCGAAACGUAUUUGAAAAUUAAUGUAAACGCCACCUUACGAAAGGACUAUCUCGUAAAUUCAGGGAUGCAGGAACGCGGGAAAUAUGCUCCGAAACGUAUUUGAAAAUUAAUGUAAACGCCAGCUUACGAAAGGACUAUCUCGUAAAUUUAGAUAAUAGGAGAAGUUGAAGGUUAUCGCUGUUACAAAAAUGAUGUAUGUUUUUUUGUUUUUUUUUUUAGGGAUGCAGGAACGCGGGAAAUAUGCUCCGAAACGUAUUUGAAAAUUAAUGUAAACGCCACCUUACGAAAGGACUAUCUCUUAAAUUCAGGGAUGCAGGAACGGCGGUCGCCGCUCUUCCCCGGACGUCAUCUUGGGCGGCGGGCAGCCAUAGAGGGCGCACAAAGGGAGGACACCCUCUGGCUCGUGGAUUUUGUUGCUAUGCGGACCCACCAGACGGUCCCGUCGUCUCUCUCCUGCCUUGAGUUUCGUCGAUCCGUCCGCAGGGUGCGUGGGACCUGGAUAAAAGUACGCGUGUACGAUACGUUAUCCGUUAACGCUUCUUCGGUACCUGGCACGAGGAAACACCACUCCGAUUUGUUUAUGAUCUUCGGACCAAAGGGAGGCGAUGUAUAAAGAGACCUUACAUCGUGUGGAACGAAAAUUCUCGGGCAUUAGAGAGAUUUUAUUGUAACCUCGUCCUGACCAGGGCAAUCUACACGCUGGAAGAAACUGGGCAAGUGUAUUCAACGUAGGACUUCAUUGGUGAAGGUAAAGACUCGCAUAGGUAU